rnacentral:rRNA from 1 species
GAUCAUGGCUCAGGAUGAACGCUGGCGGCGUGCCUAAUACAUGCAAGUCGAACNCGAGCACUUGUGCUCGAGUGGCGAACGGGUGAGUAAUACAUAAGUAACCUGCCCUAGACAGGGGGAUAACUAUUGGAAACGAUAGCUAAGACCGCAUAGGUACGGACACUGCAUGGUGACCGUAUUAAAAGUGCCUCAAAGCACUGGUAGAGGAUGGGACUUAUGGCGCAUUAGCUGGG